GGAUGCAGGAAGCCGGGGCUCAUAACCUGUUGAACAGACGGUGUCUCUCGGGAACCUAGCAGGCACGGCUAAGAGUCAUUGCCAAUGACUCAUUGGCCGUUACAUGCAGUCUGGAGGUCCGCGACCUACCACCGACAGCCGCUUGCUUGGGCGUAUACGUAUGAGUCUGAGGUGCCGUUGCCGGCACACAGCAGGGGCUCGGCCGCCAAGUCCGUGGUCCAGACCGGCUGCUCAACACUCAGCAGACACAAUCGCAGCUUGCCAGCCUUCAGCCUGUUGGCUUUGCGGUCUGGUGCCACAGUCCUAACACACACGGAAAACAACACUGCACAGCACUGUAUGCACUGCCUACAGAGCCCCUUCGGGCAUUAACUUGCCCAUUGGGGCGCCUGGCCACGCGCCCUUGGCGCCCUCCUAGCUCGACACACUUCCUCUAAGCCCUCAGCAUUUUUUCCACUUUCCCCCUCGCACGGUGCUCUGGCGAUCUAAGUGACGCCCAGCACCAUGCGGCAAUGCACGAACUUGAUUUCAC
rnacentral:lncRNA from 1 species